rnacentral:rRNA from 1 species
AAUCUUGCGCAAUGCGCGAAAGCGUGACGCAGCAACGCCGCGUGGGGGAAGAAGGCCUUCGGGUUGUAAACCCCUUUCAGGAGGGACGAAGGUUCGGCAGUGAAUAGCUGUCCGGACUGACGGUACCUCCACAAGAAGCCCCGGCUAACUACGUGCCAGCAGCCGCGGUAAUACGUAGGGGGCAAGCGUUGUCCGGAAUCAUUGGGCGUAAAGCGCGCGUAGGCGGCCCGGUAAGUCCGUUGUAAAAGUCAAAGGCUCAACCUUUGAAAGCCGAUGGAUACUGCCGGGCUCGAGUCCGGAAGAGGCGAGUAGAAUUCCUGGUGUAGCGGUGGAAUGCGCAGAUAUCAGGAGGAAUACCCAUAGCGAAGGCAGCUCGCUGGGACGGUACUGACGCUGAGGCGCGAAAGCGUGGGGAGCGAAC